AGGUGCCAAAGAAUUCCUAAGCGGCCAGGAGCCGACUGGCGUGACCUUCCGGAUGAAAAGGUUAAACUAUGUAAUGGUCAACUGGUUGAUUUGAUUCCGUGGUGCCUGCCUAACACUGCUAAGAGGCACAACCAGUGGAAGGGGCUCUUUGGGAGGUUGGAUUGGGAUGGGAACUUCCCCACUUCCUUUACUGACCCCCAGCCGAUGGGUAAGGUGGGGAUGUGUUUUCAUCCCGACCAAGACAGGAUUGUUACAGUUCGUGAAUGUGCGCGUUCUCAAGGUUUCCCAGAUAGCUAUCAAUUUGCUGGUAACAUUUUGCACAAGCACAGGCAAAUAGGAAAUGCUGUUCCACCUCCUUUGGCAUAUGCACUGGGAAGGAAACUUAAGGAAGCUGUUGAGAGCAAGAAGAGGUCCACUUAGAAGUUUGUAAAUUUUGUGGAACAAGAGAUGAGUGGUCAUACUGCACCUGAAUUUAAGCUUUCAAAUUUAAAUGUCAAACAGCAUGAUUCACAUGUCAAUUUUCUGUUGUACAAGAUAGCUUAUUGCAGAAUCAAUGUUACAUAAAAGCUCUCGUGCGUUUACAUAUUUUUUUUUUUUUAAACAGGUGAUAACCACCACACACAUAUACUUAAUCAAGGUGAUUUCAAACUUUUCUGUGGACUUAAUCCACAUCGGCCGAGCAUUUGUUCAUUUA